GAUGAACGCUGGCGGCGUGCUUAACACAUGCAAGUCGAACGGAAAGGCUCCUGCUUGCAGGGGUACUCGAGUGGCGAACGGGUGAGUAACACGUGGGUGAUCUGCCCUGCACUUCGGGAUAAGCCUGGGAAACUGGGUCUAAUACCGGAUAGGACGAUGGUUUGGAUGCCAUUGUGGAAAGUUUUUCGGUGUGGGAUGAGCUCGCGGCCUAUCAGCUUGUUGGUGGGGUAAUGGCCUACCAAGGCGUCGACGGGUAGCCGGCCUGAGAGGGUGUACGGCCACAUUGGGACUGAGAUACGGCCCAGACUCCUACGGGAGGCAGCAGUGGGGAAUAUUGCACAAUGGGCGCAAGCCUGAUGCAGCGACGCCGCGUGGGGGAUGACGGCCUUCGGGUUGUAAACUCCUUUCGCUAGGGACGAAGCGCAAGUGACGGUACCUGGAGAAGAGGCACCGGCUAACUACGUG
rnacentral:rRNA from 1 species